UACGUAGGGUGCAAGCGUUAUCCGGAAUUAUUGGGCGUAAAGAGCUCGUAGGCGGUUUGUCGCGUCUGCUGUGAAAACUGGAGGCUCAACCUCCAGCCUGCAGUGGGUACGGGCAGACUAGAGUGCGGUAGGGGAGAUUGGAAUUCCUGGUGUAGCGGUGGAAUGCGCAGAUACUCGAGGAGACACCGAUGGCGAAGGCAGAUCUCUGGGCCGUAACUGACGCUGAGGAGCGAAAGCAUGGGGAGCGAACAGG
rnacentral:rRNA from 1 species